CCCCUGAGAGGACCUGAGUUAGAACCCGCAUAGUACUAACUACUACCAUGAAAGGCGUUGGUUGCUUAAGACAGCAGGACGGUGGCCAUGGAAGUCGGAAUCCGCUAAGGAGUGUGUAACAACUCACCUGCCGAAGCAACUAGCCCUGAAAAUGGAUGGCGCUGAAGCGUCGAGCCUAUACUCUGCCGUCAGCGGCAAGUGGGGCGGCGACGGGAGCGUUGCGCGCGUCGGACCGCGUUUGCGGCUCUCUCGCGAGGCAAUCGUCUCCCUCGAGUCGUCACGAAGCCCUGACGAGUAGGAGGGUCGCGACGGUGAGCGCAGAAGGGUCUGGGCGUGAGCCUGCCUGGAGCCGCCGUCGGUGCAGAUCUUGGUGGUAGUAGCAAAUACUCCAGCGAGGCCCUGGAGGACUGACGUGGAGAAGGGUUUCGUGUGAACAGCCGUUGCACACGAGUCAGUCGAUCCUAAGCCCUAGGAGAAAUCCUAUGUCAAUGACGGCGUACAAUAUACUCGAGUGUCGAAAACAAAGAUAUAUAUAUGUAUAUGUAAAGAGAAGAAAGAGAUAGAAACGCCGCCGCCGCCGCGCGCGCGCGCGUACUUCCUUUCAUUAUUGACACACAUAUAUUAUUAUUUACGAAUGUAUAUAAUGACACACGCCCGUCGGGCGAAAGGGAAUCCGGUUCCUAUUCCGGAACCCGGCAGCGGAACCGCAUACAAUUCGGGCCCUCGUAAGAGUGUUCGUCGGGGUAACCCAAAAUGACCUGGAGACGCCGUCGGGAGAUCCGGGAAGAGUUUUCUUUUCUGUAUAAGCGUUCGAGUUCCCUGGAAACCUCUAGCAGGGAGAUAGGGUUUGGAACGCGAAGAGCACCGCAGUUGCGGCGGUGUCCGGAUCUUCCCCUCGGACCUUGAAAAUCCAGGAGAGGGCCACGUGGAGGUGUCGCGCCGGUUCGUACCCAUAUCCGCAGCAGGUCUCCAAGGUAAAGAGCCUCUAGUCGAUAGAAUAAUGUAGGUAAGGGAAGUCGGCAAAUUGGAUCCGUAACUUCGGAAUAAGGAUUGGCUCUGAGGAGCGGGGCGUGUCGGGCUUGGUCGGGAAGCGGGUCUGGCUGACGUGCCGGGCCUGGGCGAGGUGAACGGUCGGCGUUCUCGCGCGCCGGUCCCGGGAUCUGAGUUCGGUCCCGUGCCUUGGCCCGCGGAUCUUCCUUGCUGCGAGGCUUCCGUGGCGGCGCGAGCCGUCGUGGUCGUGGUCGUCCUUCGGCCGCCAUUCAACGCUCAGCUCAGGACUGGCACGGACUGGUGGGGAAAAUCCGACUGUCUAAUUAAACAAAGCAUUGCGAUGGCCCUCGCUUGUGGUGACGCAAUGUGAUUUCUGCCCAGUGUCUUGAAUGUCAACGUGAAGAAAUUCAAGCAAGCGCGGGUAAACGGCGGGAGUAACUGUGACUCUCUUAAGGGAGUAGUUGCUGGGUGACGAUAUGCGCAAUACAUAGCCUCUACGUCACCCGUCGAUGGCCCACCUCCUCGUGGUGCCCGCUGGAAACGUUGCGUUUGCAACGGCUAAGUGGCCAUCGACACUCUAUGCUCGCAGUGCUACCGAACAACAGGUAGUGCAUGCGUGCCAUGGUAGCGAGCAUAGUAGAGUAUAAUAUUGGCGUAUACUGGUAUGCUACCAGUAAGAGGUGACUAAUCCUUAUAGUGAGGUUAGGUCGAUUAUAGACGGUAGUCCUUACUUUCAAAUUGGUGACGACUUGGCAAGUUUUAGGCAAUGAGUGGGACGCUUCACGGGAUUAGUUUAUUUUGAUAAAUAUAAAAUUUAAUUUGAUAAAUGUUAAGUGAAGAUGAAGAAGCCUCGGACGCAGGAGCUCCUGGUCUCGGGACUCCUGUGGCGGAAAUAUCCGCUAUGGACAGGGAGACCACUAAUGACGGCAAUGGCAUGA
rfam:Camponotus floridanus CamFlo_1.0_2.contig3386, whole genome shotgun sequence.